UACGGAGGGUGCGAGCGUUGUCCGGAAUGACUGGGCGUAAAGGGCGCGUAGGCGGAUGGCUUUGUCGGGCGUGAAAUUCCAGGGCUUAACCUUGGGGCUGCGUUCGAGACGGGUUGUCUUGAGUGGGGAAGAGGGUCGUGGAAUUCCCAGUGUAGAGGUGAAAUUCGUAGAUAUUGGGAAGAACACCGGUGGCGAAGGCGGCGACCUGGUCCUUUACUGACGCUGAGGCGCGAAAGCGUGGGGAGCAAACAGG
rnacentral:rRNA from 1 species